UACGAAGGGGGCUAGCGUUGCUCGGAAUCACUGGGCGUAAAGGGUGCGUAGGCGGUUGGGUAAGUCUGAUGUGAAAUCUCACAGCUUAACUGUGAAACUGCAUUGGAUACUAUCCGGCUAGAGGAAUGGAGGGGAGACUGGAAUACUUGGUGUAGCAGUGAAAUGCGUAGAUAUCAAGUGGAACACCAGUGGCAAAGGCGAGUCUCUGGACAUUUCCUGACGCUGAGGCACGAAAGCCAGGGGAGCAAACGGG
rnacentral:rRNA from 1 species